GUACUCGCUUUGGCAGUACAUAUACUAAAAUUGGAACGAUACAGAGAACAUUAGCAUGGCCCCUGCGCAAGGAUGACACACGCCGGCACGGUAGCUCAGCGUGUUC